UACGGAGGGUGCGAGCGUUGUCCGGAAUCACUGGGCGUAAAGGGCGCGUAGGCGGCCUGCUAAGUAGAGGGUGAAAUCCUGCGGCUCAACCGCAGGGCUGCCUUCUAAACUGUCAGGCUGGAGCACGGUAGAGGCAGAUGGAAUUCCUGGUGUAGCGGUGAAAUGCGCAGAUAUCAGGAGGAACACCGGUGGCGAAGGCGGAUCUCUGGGCCAUUACUGACGCUGAGGAGCGAAAGCGUGGGGAGCGAACAGG
rnacentral:rRNA from 1 species